UAAUCCCAAAUGUUUCAUAUACCAUCUUCUUAAUUUUCAUAAUAAUCCAAUAUCUUUUCUCUGUUUUCCAGCCCAAAAAAUAAUCCUACUUUUCUUGCAUGGAUUUCUCUCUUCCAUUGGUUACAAACAUGAGUAUCACUAAGGAAGAAAUGUCAAGCCCACUCAAUGAUCAAAUUCUGAAGUUCUGUGAAUCUGAACUUUUUUCAGAAAUACAGAAUUCAGAAGUAGCUUCUAGCUCAAAUGGUUGUUGCUAUGAUGAACAAUCCUCUUAUGAUACCAAUUUUGAUCUAAACAAAUUCCAAAGCACUAGUGAAAAGAAUGAUGAUAUUAUCACAAAAGCAGCCACCAGCACGACCAAUGUUAGCCCCAACAACGAUAACAACAACAACAACAAUAAUAAGGACAACAACAAUAGUCUAUCGAUGAUAUUUGAUACUCAAGAGGAAAUUGAGAAUGACAUUUCUGCAUCAAUAGACUUCAUACCAUCCGCAAAUUUUACAGUCUCGUAUCAUUUCCUUCAACAACAAGAGGGACAAUUCGACGUAAAUCCUCUUAACAAUCAUCAUGGCCCUGUUACAGAUAUUAUAAAUGGUCCCCUGUCUCAUCAGUAUCAUUCCCUUAUGGGGCCUCCAUUAGGUCAUGCAUACGAAGACGAAUCGUUGUCCUCCAUUCCUCCUUACAUGCGCCUCGCUUCUUCUUCUUCUCCUUCUUGUGCACUUCUUGAUCCUAACAUGGUAAAUUACCUCCAAGGGAAUCUCAACAGUACAAUCAAUUCUGAAACUUCAUCAGUAUUUGCUGCAGCUGCUAAUAGUGCCUUGUUCUUUGGAUCUCAAUUGCCAAAUCAAGAAUUGGAUUUUCAAGGAGAGAAUAGUAGACUUUUUUGCCCUGAUGCAUUGCCAAGGAUCUACAAUAGUGAGCUUCAGGCACUCAGCAGUGAGAGUCAGCAUUUGGUUAGUGGUGCUGGUUGUUCUAACACUUUGGCGACAGAGAUAACAAGCUUUGAAGAUCCUAGUUAUAAUAAAACCGGCAGGUGUUCACCUGAGGAAAGGAGGGAGAAGAUUCAUAGAUACAUGAAGAAAAGAAAUGAGAGGAAUUUCAGCAAAAAAAUCAAGUAUGCAUGCAGAAAAACACUAGCAGAUAGUAGGCCAAGAGUGAGGGGAAGAUUUGCAAGAAAUGAUGAAUUUGGUGAGGCAAGUAAAGCAAAUUCUUGUGGAACUAUUGAAGAGGACACAGUUAGUACUGAAGAUGUAAGGAUCAAUAGUAUUAUGUAUCAUCAUCAUGAUCCAAAUAUGGUUGCUUCUUCAACUUAUCAUGACAAUAAUGGUCGAAUUUUCACCUCCAAUUGUCAUGUAUCGACUAGUCCCUAUGAUACGUGCACCCCUCUCUAUUGCACAGAUGGUCAAAUGCACUAGCUAGAGUUUUAUAAAGCUCUCCAAUGUGCUCCAGUAGUUUCUCCUCUACAUAUAACAAGUAUAUGACGAUGAAAGAAGAAGAUGUGGAGUCGUUGUGUAUAUUUCCACAUAUUAUUGGUGUGAAUACCUUCAAAAUCAACUAUUGCAUCAAGCAAUCUUGGAUUUGAUCAGCUCUCAACUUUAUUUUGCUUUGUUCUUGCAAUUAUACAAUUUUGCAGAACUUAAUUUCCAAUAGGAUGUAUUAAAUAGCCAUGAACUAAUAAAGAAAACAAAGAAUAACUUGUAAUAACUUACUCAAUGUCCCGUAGUCAGGGCAUGUAAAUUUUGUAAAUGUUGUGCUAUUGUAAGUUAUACUUUUGUGUUUUGUA